rnacentral:rRNA from 1 species
AAACCAGCACCUCAAGUGGUCAGGAUGAUUAUUGGGCCUAAAGCAUCCGUAGCCUGCUCUGUAAGUUUUCGGUUAAAUCUGUACGCUCAACGUACAGGCUGUCGGGAAUACUGCAGAGCUAGGGAGUGGGAGAGGUAGACGGUACUCGGGAGGAAGUGGUAAAAUGCUUUGAUCUCUCGAUGACCACCUGUGGCGAAGGCGGUCUACCAGAACACGUUCGACGGUGAGGGAUGAAAGCUGGGGGAGCAAACCGGAUUAGAAACCCCAGUAGUCC